rnacentral:rRNA from 1 species
ACAUAACUGAUGCCUCCGCGUAUCGACUUUGUACGCAUUUUAGCUAUUAUGUGUUCUUUUAAUUAAAAUGAUUCUUUUUAAGAUUCAUCUAUUAAAAAUUUGCUUCGGCAUAAUUUUUUUUGAUGAUCUUGUUACUUUGAGUAAAUUAGAGUGUUCAAAGCAAACAGAUAUAGCAUUUGUGCGUUUGAAUACUACAGCAUGGAAUAACAAAAUUGAACAAGUCAGAAUUUUUUUGUUCUUUUUUCUUAUUUUGGCUUAGUUACGAUUAAUAGGAGUAGCUUGGGGGCAUUUGUAUUCAGAUGUCAGAGGUGAAAUUCUUAGAUUUUCUGGAGACAAACAACUGCGAAAGCAUUUGCCUAAAAUACUUCCAUUAAUCAGGAACGAAAGUUAAGGGAGUGAAGACGAUCAGAUACCGUCGUAAUCUUAACCAUAAACUAUGCCGACUAGGCUUUGGAUGAAAGAUUUUAAAAUAAGAGUUUUUCUUUUCUCUCCGGAGAUUAGAACUCUUAGAUUGCUUCCUUCAGUGCCUUAUGAGAAAUCAAAGUCUUUGGGUUCUGGGGCGAGUAUUCGCGCAAGCGAGAAAGUUAAAAGAAUUGACGGAAGGGCACCACCAGGCGUGGAGCUUGCGGCUUAAUUUGACUCAACACGGGAAAACUCACUAGUUUAAGACAAGAGUAGGAUUGACAGAUUAAUAGCUCUUUCUUGAUUUCUUGGAUGGUGAUGCAUGGCCGUUUUUAGUUCGUGAAUAUGAUUUGUCUGGUUAAUUCCGAUAACGAACGAGAUCUUAACCUGCUAAUUAGCGGCAAAUACGAUAUAUUCUUAUGUAGAAUUGAAUAUAGUGGAUUUGUUAGAUUUUGAAGAAAAUAUUGGAAUUACGUUAAAUGUGAUUCCUUUCCCUUUUCUACUUAAUUUACAUUUCCAUCUAUUUCUUUUUUGCGUAUGAAUGUAUUUGCUUGAUUGUAAAGCUUCUUAGAGGAACGAUGUGUG